rnacentral:tRNA from 1 species
GCGGGCAUAGUUUAAUGGUAAAAUAUCAGUUUUCCAAACUGAGGUUACGGGUUCGAUUCCCGUUGCCCGCUCCA